CACAGCAACAUCAGCGCUGACGUUUCUGCUACGCGUGCAGCAGCGGAGGCAGACUGUGCUGUCGUAACCGGUGACGCCUUUCACUGGGCCUGCGUAAAAACAUUGCCCAGUGACCAUGGAAACAGUGGUUGCUCCUCCGCAAAUUCACAUUCAUAACCAGUCCAUAAACUCCACAGUUAUGCAGUUUCUAUAGGUACCAGCAGAGAAUGGAGAAUCAACUGAGGAUAUCUCUUGCU